GCGAAACAUAAUAUGAAAUAAACAAUUAAAAUCUAAACUUUAUAAAAUAAAAUUAUAAAAAAAAAAAAAACUAAUUAAAAUCAAGUCUUGAAGGUUGAAACCGCGCGCUCGAGCAACCUGGUAAACUGUCAAUUGCAGAAAAGACUAGCUCCUUCCAAGCAUUGAAUUGCCAUUAUGCUAUGAUCCCUGCUGGAGUAGAAUAAAAAUUAGACUUAAUUGAAUUCCAAUUAAAACAAUAAAACUAAAUAACAUCUAACACUGUUAAUAAUAAAGUGAAUGUGGGUGAGAUGUGUUUCCCAAGUGAGGGAAACAUACCACCACCGGCGGUGUUCCCUUUGUUUAAUAGGGUUGGAAGUUUCCGAACGAAGGCCCGAAUACCAUGUUUAGCGGUGAUCCCGAAUAGCUCAGGGGCUUGGUCAGAUCGAUUAAAAGGUUGAGGAGAAGACAGAGUGGAAUUGCAUGCAUGAAUAUUGAUAGAAAUAAUGGAAGAGAAUAAAAGGAUGAAAAUGAAACAGCCAUGUUGGAUUGGGUGAUGAAACUGCACUAGCAUGUUUCUUCGUGAAUGCGCCAUGUCUUUUUGGAAGAUUUAUUUUGCCG
rnacentral:lncRNA from 1 species